GUGGAAGCAGCGCGGACCCACGGCACACCGAACGCACUCCAACAGAACCCGACGCAGACACGCGCUUUCAACCGGCGGAGACACUGGCAGCUGAUCCAUAUGAAUUCCUCUUAUUAAGAAAAAUAAAGCAUCCAGGAUUCAAUGAAGAACUGACUAUCACCUUGUUAAUCAUUCAGAAACAUGUUGCAGGCUUAAGCCAUUUUUGAUAUAGAUACUGAAACAAUUACUUGCUAAGAGCAAACUUGAAGGUAUGGAUAAGGCCCUGAGUCAUCUUCCUGAGCUGAAUGAUAGUUAAGCUGAAUGUACGUAUAAAAUAUGAUUUUCUAACCACUUGCUCGCCAACAAGGAAAACUUUUAAGUAGAGCAGAACCUGAAUAGACAAGACAUUUCUUUCUUUUGGUAGAAAAUGAUUUACCAUCACUGUGUAGUUAAUUGUAGACUAGGUAAUUUUAACUUUGUGAUUUAUUGCCGGAGACAUUUUCUUCUGUACUGUAAAGUGUGUGUCAAAAAAAAAAAUAGCGAUUUUGGAGGAUUAGGGGACUUUGAUAAAUUGCCUGCAAUUCUGGCAGUAUGAACUGCAUAUUAAUUUCUGUCUUUCAAGAACAUUUUUAUUUAUUAAUUCCUUACAAAAACUCCCUAAACUUUGGAACAGCUCUCAAUUGCCUGUAUUCUUUUUUUUCUUAUUAUGGUACUCUUCUAGAGAUUUGGCUUGCAUCUGUGAAUAAGCCAGGACAUCUUCAGAAAUUGUCUGAUUAAAAACACCACCAAUGGAGUUUCAUUAAAUUUGUAUUGCUCUGACUAGUGAAACACACACAUCUAUGUUGCUGAGGAUAUUUUACUGCAGUUCGAGUUGUAAUAAUAGCUCUGUUUAAGAUCCGUCAGUCACUUGAAUCUUCUCUAAGGCUUUGUAUGUUAGAAGUUAAUUUGCUUUCUUACAAGGCCACAUUCUAUCUUGUAACUAAACAACUGAAUUUUA
rnacentral:lncRNA from 1 species